UAUUAUUAAAAUUUAAAUUGAAAAUACUAAAAUAGUAGGUAAUUAUUUAUUGAAACUUAAAUAAUUUGGCGGUAUUUUAGUUCAUUUAGAGGAAUCUGUUUAUUAAUUGAUAAUCCACGAAUAAAUUUACUUAAUUUUUUUAUUUUGUAUAUCGUUGUUAAAAAAAUAUUUUUUAAUAAUAAUAAUAUUUAAAAAUUUAAAUUGAAAAUUAAAUCAGAUCAAGAUGCAGAUUAUAAUUAAGAAUAUAAUGGAUUACAAUAAAUUUAUUUAAAUGGAUAUUAAUUUGUAAAAAUUAAUUAAAGGUGGAUUUAAAUGUAAUUUUAUUUAGUUUAAUAAAAUGAUUGAAAAUUGAAAUAUGUACAUAUUGCCCGUCGCUUUCAUAUAUUAAAAAUUGGA
rnacentral:rRNA from 2 species